rnacentral:tRNA from 1 species
AGGGAUAUAGCUCAGAGGUAGAGCAUUUGCCUAGCAUGUGAACACACUGGGUUCAAUCCCCAGCUCUG